rnacentral:rRNA from 1 species
CAACAGGGAUUGCCCUAGUAACGGCGAGUGAAGCGGCAACAGCUCAAAUUUGAAAUCUGGCUUCGGCCCGAGUUGUAAUUUGUAGAGGAAGCUUCUGGUGCGGCACUGUCCGAGUCCCCUGGAACGGGGCGCCAUAGAGGGUGAGAGCCCCGUAUGGACGGAUGCCUAUCCUGUGUGAAGCUCCUUCGACGAGUCGAGUAGUUUGGGAAUGCUGCUCAAAAUGGGAGGUAAAUUCCUUCUAAAGCUAAAUACUGGCCAGAGACCGAUAGCGCACAAGUAGAGUGAUCGAAAGAUGAAAAGCACUUUGAAAAGAGGGUUAAACAGCACGUGAAAUUGUUGAAAGGGAAGCGCUUGUGACCAGACUUGCGCCAGGCUGAUCAUCCGGUGUUCUCACCGGUGCACUCUGCCUGGCUCAGGCCAGCAUCGGUUUCCGCGGGGGGAUAAAGGUCCCGGAAAUGUAGCUCCUUCGGGAGUGUUAUAGCCCGGGGCGCAAUGCCCUCGUGGGGACCGAGGUUCGCGCAUCUGCAAGGAUGCUGGCGUAAUGGUCAUCAGCGACCCGUCUUGAAACACGGACCAAGGAGUCAAGGUUUUGCGCGAGUGUUUGGGUGUUAAACCCGCACGCGUAAUGAAAGUGAACGUAGGUGAGAGCUUCGGCGCAUCAUCGACCGAUCCUGAUGUAUUCGGAUGGAUUUGAGUAGGAGCGUUAAGCCUUGGACCCGAAAGAUGGUGAACUAUGCUUGGAUAGGGUGAAGCCAGAGGAAACUCUGGUGGAGGCUCGCAGCGGUUCUGACGUGCAAAUCGAUCGUCAAAUCUGAGCAUGGGGGCGAAAGACUAAUCGAACCAUCUAGUAGCUGGUUACCGCCGAAGUUUCCCUCAGGAUAGCAGUGUUGUUCUUCAGUUUUAUGAGGUAAAGCGAAUGAUUAGGGACUCGGGGGCGCUUUAUAGCCUUCAUCCAUUCUCAAACUUUAAAUAUGUAAGAAGCCCUUGUUACUUAAUUGAACGUGGGCAUUCGAAUGUACCAACACUAGUGGGCCAUUUUUGGUAAGCAGAACUGGCGAUGCGGGAUGAACCGAACGCGAAGUUAAGGUGCCGGAAUGGACGCUCAUCAGACACCACAAAAGGCGUUAGUACAUCUUGACAGCAGGACGGUGGCCAUGGAAGUCGGAAUCCGCUAAGGACUGUGUAACAACUCACCUGCCGAAUGUACUAGCCCUGAAAAUGGAUGGCGCUCAAGCGUCCCACCCAUACCUCGCCCUCAGGGUAGAAACGAUGCCCUGAGGAGUAGGCGGCCGUGGAGGUCAGUGACGAAGCCUAGGGCGGAG